AUUGAACGCUGGCGGCAGGCCUAACACAUGCAAGUCGAACGAGUGGCGGACGGGUGAGUAAUGUCUGGGAAACUGCCCGAUGGAGGGGGAUAACUACUGGAAACGGUAGCUAAUACCGCAUACCAUCGGAUGUGCCCAGAUGGGAUUAGCUAGUAGGUGGGGUAACGGCUCACCUAGGCGACGAUCCCUAGCUGGUCUGAGAGGAUGACCGGCAAACUUGAAACUGGGAAACGGUCCAGCUUCCUACGGGAGGCGGAAGUGGGAAUUAUUGCACAAUGGGCGCAAGCCUGAUGCAGCCAUGCCGGGUGUAUGAAGAAGGCCUUCGGGUUGUAAAGUACUUUCAGCGAGGAGGCGUUACUCGCAGAAGAAGCACCGGCUAACUCCGUGCCAGCAGCCGCGGUAAUC
rnacentral:rRNA from 1 species